GGGAUGGCCAGGUAGUGUUAUACAAGAUGGUACUGUAUAAAAUUGAGUGUCCGAGGUUGUUCUGCAGACCAACUCGGCUUUUUUGAAUCUUCAUUAAAGUCUAUUUUGGAUUCUCAAGUUCCUGAGUCUUUGCAUGCUUUUUUGCCAGGAAAUCUGAAGUGUUUUCCACGACAUAAUCUUGGCAUUGUCGGCAGAAUUGGCAUCGGGCUGGCUGGCUGUCAGCUGCAGAAGGCGCCGUGGGUCGGGUCGCACAAACAACACGUGGCCACAUUGAGAGGGCCAACCGUGGGAGUUGAGGAGGCAGGCAGGAUUCGUGAUACCGGCUCGACGGCCCGAGGGACUGCAUGGACGAAUCCACCGCGCCGGGUCACCCUCAGUAGGAGAAGAAGACUGCUGUGGGACAGGACCGGGCGGCUUUGAAUUUAGCUGUAUGAGUGUGCCCCGCGAGUACCGCCUCAGAUAUAGACUUUGGGGGACAGCACGGGUGGGG
ensembl:lncRNA